rnacentral:rRNA from 1 species
AACGAACGCUGGCGGCAGGCCUAACACAUGCAAGUCGAACGCCCCGCAAGGGGAGUGGCAGACGGGUGAGUAACACGUGGGAACCUUUCCAGUGGUACGGAAUAGCCCAGGGAAACUUGGAGUAAUACCGUAUACGCCCCUAGGGGGAAAGAUUUAUCGCCAUUGGGUGGGCCCGCGUCGGAUUAGCUAGUUGGUGAGGUAACGGCUCACCAAGGCGACGAUCCGUAGCUGGUCUGAGAGGAUGAUCAGCCACACUGGGACUGAGACACGGCCCAGACUCCUACGGGAGGCAGCAGUGGGGAAUAUUGGACAAUGGGCGCAAGCCUGAUCCAGCCAUGCCGCGUGAGUGACGAAGGCCUUAGGGUUGUAAAGCUCUUUUGGCGGGACGAUAAUGACGGUACCCGCAGAAUAAGCUCCGGCUAACUUCGUGCCAGCAGCCGCGGU